GACGAACGCUGGCGGCGUGCUUAACACAUGCAAGUCGAACGGAAAGGCCCUGCUUUUGCGGGGUGCUCGAGUGGCGAACGGGUGAGUAACACGUGAGUAACCUGCCCUUGACUUUGGGAUAACUUCAGGAAACUGGGGCUAAUACCGGAUAGGAGCUCCUGCUGCAUGGUGGGGGUUGGAAAGUUUCGGCGGUUGGGGAUGGACUCGCGGCUUAUCAGCUUGUUGGUGGGGUAGUGGCUUACCAAGGCUUUGACGGGUAGCCGGCCUGAGAGGGUGACCGGCCACAUUAGGACUGAGAGACGGCCCAGACUCCUACGGGAGGCAGCAGUGGGGAAUAUUGCACAAUGGGCGGAAGCCUGAUGCAGCAACGCCGCGUGCGGGAUGACGGCCUUCGGGUUGUAAACCGCUUUCGCCUGUGACGAAGCGGGAGUGACGGUAAUGGGUAAAGAAGCACCGGCUAACUACGUG
rnacentral:rRNA from 1 species